GCAAAUCCAGGAGUUAACAAACUUCACAAUCACCAUCGCCACCACCCCUCUCAACAUCAAAUCCCUCCAAUCCACCAUUUCCACCGCCUCAUCCAAUCACAACAACAUCCACUUGGCCGAACUUCCCUUCUGCAGCUCAGACCACGACCUGCCCCCCAACACAGAAACCACCGAGAACCUCCCCUUCCCCAAAAUCAUCAACCUUUUCGCCGCUUCAGUCGCCCUUGAACCUCCAUCCCGCCGCCUUAUCUCCGAUAUCAUCGAAAAAGAAGGCCGCCCGCCGCUCUGUUUGAUCUCCGAUGUUUUCUUCGGAUGGGCUACUGAUCUUGCAAACAGCUUAGGCACUGUCAAUGUGAGUUUCACCACAGGCGGGGCUUACGGCUCUGCAGCCUACACAUCAAUAUGGCUCAACCUGCCUCACCGCUCCGCAAGCAACGAAUACUUCACCCUCCCCGGCUUCCCGGAACGCUGCAGGUUCCACAUCUCUCAGCUGCAUCCGUUUCUAAGAGCUGCAGACGGCACAGAUUCUUGGUCAAGAUUUUUCCAGCCUCAGAUUUCGGGUUCUACAAAAUCUUUUGGUUGGCUGUGUAAUACUGUGGAGGAAAUUGAGCCGUUGGGAUUGGAUAUCUUGAGGGAUUACUUGAAGCUUCCUGUUUGGUGCAUUGGUCCUCUAAUUCCUACUGAUGCACUCAAAAACUCAUCCACAUUGGACUUAAAGGUCUCGAGGCAGCGCGCCGGAAAAGAAAUGGGCUUUUCGGCCGAGAAAUGCCUCGAGUGGCUUGACUUGCAAGGUCCGAAUUCUGUAAUUUACAUCUCAUUUGGUUCUCAGAACACAAUCAGUGCAACCCAAAUGAAGGAAUUGGCUGUUGGGUUGGAAGAAAGCGGAAAACCUUUCGUUUGGGUGAUAAGGCCUCCGGUGGGGUUUGAUCUGAAGGGAGAGUUCAGAGCAGAGUGGCUGCCUCAUGGAUUUGAGGAGAGAAUGAGUAAACGAAAACAGGGGUUGCUAGUGCACAACUGGGCACCCCAGUUGGAGAUUUUGUCACACAAAUCCAUAGGGCUUUUUGUGAGCCAUUGUGGGUGGAAUUCAGUGAUGGAGAGCUUGAGCCAGGGCGUGCCGAUUGUUGGGUGGCCGUUGGCGGCGGAGCAGGCCUAUAAUUCGAAGAUGUUGGUGGAGGAGAUGGGUGUGAGCGUGGAGCUGACAAGGGGUGUGCAGAGUAAUAUUGGAUGGAAAGAGGUGAAGGAGGUGAUUGAUUUGGUGAUGGAUGAGAGUGGGAAGGGAGGGGAGAUGAGGAAGAAUGCUGGUGAGAUUAAGGUGAAGAUAAGAAGAUCAAUUAGAGAUGAUGAUGGUGAUCAAGGAAAGGAGAAGGGGUCAUCUGUCAAGGCAAUGGAGGAUUUCGUCGCUGCUCUUUUAUCAAAGAAACAAGAUUUGUCAAAAAUUAAUUAGUGGUGAUUGUGUUACUAGUAAUUUAUUAACUAGUUUCUGUAUUGAAAUUGAAAUAAUAACAUUGUGACUUUCCUAUAUGGUCAAUGUUUGCCACUUUGAAAAGUUAUUAUGCUUUUGUUAUAUCUGGGAAAAUAUGGACAUGAACUAUACAUAAAAUGCCAAUGAUAUUUUUAAAGCUUUAAUAGCAUCUAGGACCAACAACAACAACAACAAAGUCUUUUCCCACUAAGUGGAGUCGGCUAUAUGAAUCCUAGAACGCCAUUGCGCUCGGUUUUGUGUCAUGUCCUCCGUUAGAUCCAAGUACUCUAAGUUUUUUCUUAGAGUCUCUUCCAAAGUUUUCCUAGGUCUUCCUCUACCCCUUCGGCCCUGAACCUCUGUCCCGUAGUCACAUCUUCGAACCGGAGCGUCAGUAGGCCUUCUUUGUACAUGUCCAAAUCACCGGAACCGAUUUUCUCUCAUCUUUCCUUCAAUUUCGGCUACUCAUACUUUACCUCGGAUACCCUUAUUCCCAAUCUUAUCCUUUCUUGUGUGCCCACACAUCCCACGAAGCAUCCUCAUCUCUGCUACACCCAUUUUGUGUACGUGUUGAUGCUUCACCGCCCAACAUUUUGUGCCAUACAACAUCGCUGGCCUUAUUGCCGUCCUAUAAAAUUUUCCCUUGAGCUUCAGUGGCCUACGACGAUCACACAACACGCCAGAUGCACUCUUACACUUCAUCCAUCCAGCUUGUAUUCUAUGGUUGAGAUCUCCAUCUAAUUCUCCGUUCUCUUGCAAGAUAGAUCCUAAGUAGCGAACGGUCGCUUUUUGUGAUAUUCGCUAGAUUGCUCCGGUCAUUAGUGUGGAUAAGUAUAUAAAUGGAUAGAGAUAGGAAAGCAAACACAAGAUGUACGUGGUUCACCCAGAUUGGCUACCUCUACGGAAUAGAGGAGUUCUCAUUAAUUGUGAAGGGUUUACACAACUACAUAGGUUCAAGCUCUCCUUUAGUGAGUACAAGUGAAUGAUUUAGUACAAAUGACAUUAGGAAAUAUUGUGGGAGAAUGAUCUCGUAAUCACGAAACUUCUAAGUAUCGGAGUGUGGUAUCGUCUUGACUUGCCUUAUCUGUCUCAUAGGUAGAUGUGGCAUCUUCUCUGGAAGUACUCUUCCUCCAUCCAGGGGUGGUAUCUUUAACUGGUGGAGAUGCACAAGGUAAUGUAUCAAUUUCACUUGAAGCUUACUUGUAGUUUCAGGCUUGGUCAAGUGCGAUACAAACCAUGUAGUAGGAGUCCCCCAAGUCGCCGAGCUAGGGGAUCUGCUGAAAGAGGUGACAGACAAGGUAAGUAAUCAGAGCUCCGGCUGAUUGUUCACAUUCUCCCUAUCUUGCAGGCAGCAUGAAGGAUAAAGAGAAGAAAAAUGAGAAGAGAUGAUAUGGGAUACUUUUGCUUUUGAGGAAAUAACUUUCCACAGGCUUAUUCUUGAACUGAGCUGGAGGGUUUUUUGGUUUCCUCCAGAGUAUAAGGCCAACUGAAGAAUUUGAGGGUCAAAACAAGUCCAUCAAAUCUAGAGUACGUUCGACCCUGCUGAUAUGGGAUACUUUUGCUUUUUGACAAAGUAGUGGAUGUAUCGGCACGUGUGCUGUUACGCUUGUCUCCACAUGCUUCCUUGUAUCCUUCUCACUUGCCCUAUAUGUUCCUCAGGCAGAUGCGGUAUUUUCCCUGGAAGCAUAAGAUGUUGAAGAUGAGUACUCGAGAGCAAUGCUAGGUAAGUAAUCAGGUAAGGGGUUCCAGGCAGUCAGUUCCUGGCUGGAAUCUUGAUUCCAAGUGCUGACUGAUUGCUCUCUUUCUCCUUGUCUUGCAUGUAAGAACAAGGCCAAAGGAAAAGACAGGGAAAAAGCAUGAUAUGAGAUACUUUUGCUUUUAACCCUGAUGAUAUGAAAUAUUCUUGCUCUAGUAUAGCUUGUUUGCAGAGGUAUUAUCGGGGGGAAAGAAAACUGAAGAUUUCGAAAGGCUUCGUUGGGAGUGCCCUCUCAGAUAUGAGGAAGGGUUGAGCAUUUUUGCAGGUCUGCCUGUCCGUUGGGGAUGGAGGUCGACAUAUAUAGGAGUCUCCCUAACAACAAGUAGUAAUGCUAUUCCUUUACCCUGCUUGGUCAUAGCACGGUAGUGGGAGCUGCCAGCUUCACAUGUUUUAACUCUGUCAGAGCACUUUGAAAAAGUGGUCUAUGGUAUCUGGAAAGCUGAUGUUGCGUGUGAAGAUUACAAACAAACUUUAUCCAAGGAGAUCCGGCUCUUGAAGUUGGGAAAACGGUGCCUCUUCGAUUUUCGAACAAGCAAUCCUAUCGGGGAUCUGGCUCUCGAGAUUCGGAGAACGAUGCCUCUUCGGUUUUUUAGAAAGCAAUCUUGUUGGGAGUGUUUUCUUGAAUGUGAGUAAAGGUUGGGCAUGUUUGCUAGUCUACCUUGCCAUGAAGCAUAGAGGUUGACACACAGGGACUUUCCAAUUAUCCAGCAAUGGUACUGUUCCUUUACCCUCUCUUCGAUUUUUGAGAAAGUAGUCAUGUUGGGAGUCUGGCUCUCGAGAUUCAGAGGACGGUGCUUCUUCGAUUUUGGAGCAAGCAAUCUUGUUAGGAGUGUUUUCUCUAAUGUGAGUAAAGGUUGGGCAUGUUUGCUAGUCUACCUUGCCACGAAGCACAGAGGUUGACACACAGGGACUUUCCAAUUAUCCAGCAGUGGUACUGUUCCUUUACCCUUGUGGGUAAUAAUAUGGUAGCUAGACCUUCAAAAUUUAUGUGUCUAAACUUUGUUAGUGCUGUUUCUUUGCUAUUCUUUUACCCUUCUUGGUCAGAGCGAUGUAGUGGGAGCUGCAAGCUUCACGUGUCUCAACUUUGGCAGAGAACUUUGACAAAGUUAUCUGUGGUACCCAUGAGCUACUGUUGCGUGUGGGAAGUGGAUGAUUGAACAGUAAGAUUCAUGUGCUUUCUACUUCACCAGAAGUCUUCGACAGAAUGCCCAUAAUUUCCGCAAAGCUGAGUGUGCGUGUGACAGGUGCUAACAAGGUUGGAAAAGUAGGUGCCUCUUCGAUUUCUGAGAUCGGCCUCGUGGUCUCUGAGCAGCUCAGCUUUUGAGAAAGCAAGCGCCUCUUCGAUUUCUGAGAUCGGCCUUCAUGGUCUUUGAGCAGCCCAGCUUUUGAGAAAGCAAACGCCUCUUCGAUUUCUGAGAUCGACCCUCGUGGUCUCUGAACAGCCCAGCUUUUGAGAAAGCAAACGCCUCUUCGAUUUCUGAGCAGGCGCCUCUUCGAUUUCUGAAGCUCCGUCGAGUGCAGAUUUUUAUAGGGGUUGGCAUUAAGUUCCAAAGCACACUUAAAUCUCCACCAGUAGAAGCUCCAUUCUUGCACUUCUAAGAUCUUGAUUUGUCCGACCUCUUCUCUCUUCAACACCUUUGAAAAUGUCUGGCCCCUCCGACCGUCGUUUUGACUUGAACCUUGUUGAAAAGGCAGCACCGCCUUCUCCAGACAACAUAUGGUGCCCAUCCUUCGUCUCCCCUACUAGUCCUCUUACCGUUGGGGAUUCCGUCAUGAAGAAUGAUAUGACCGCUGCGGUGGUGGCCAGGAACCUUCUCACUCCCAAAGAUAACAGACUACUUUCCAAACGGUCUGAUGAAUUAGCUGUUAAGGAUUCUCUGGCUCUCAGUGUUCAGUGUGCAGUUUCUGUGUCUAAUAUGGCCCAACACCUAUUUGCUCGAACCCGCCAAGUUGAAUCAUUGGCGGCUGAAGUGAUGAGUCUCAAAUAGGAGAUUAGAGGGCUCAAGCAUGAGAAUAAACAGUUGCACCGGCUCGCACAUGACUAUGCUUCAAACAUGAAGAGGAAGCUUGACCAGAUGAAGGAAUCUGAUGGUCAGGUUUUACUUGAUCAUCAGAGAUUUGUGGGUUUGUUCCAAAGACAUUUAUUGCCUUCGUCUUCUGGGGCUGUACCGCGUAAUGAAGCUCCAAAUGAUCAACCUCUGAUGCCUCCUCCUUCUAGGGUUCUGUCCAGUACUGAGGCUCUGAAUGAUCCCCCUCCGGUGCCUUCUCUUUCUGGGGCUCUACCGACUGCUGAGACUUCUCCUAAGCAACCUUUGUGAAGGCUCCCUCUUGUUUGUUUAUUUUGACUCAUGUAUAUGUACAUAUUUGUAACUUAUCGGGGAUAUCAAUAAAUAAGAUUUCCUUCAUUUCAACGUAUUGUGUUAAAUACACCAAAGUCUUCUUCGCUAAGUUCUUUGAAUUUUCUUUUGUUGAAGCUUGUAUGUUGAAGCUUUAUGAGUGGAGCAUGUAGGUUGAGGUAGUGUUCCCUUAAUUUCCCGAGUGAGGAAAACUUCUCGGUUGGAGACUUGGAAAAUCCAAGUCACUGAGUGGGAUCGGCUAUAUGAAUCUUAGAACGCCAUUGUGCUCGGUCAUGUGUCAUGUCCUUCGUUAGAUCCAAGUACUCCAAGUCUUUUCUUAGAGUCUCUUCCAAAGUUUUCCUAGGUCUUCCUCUACCCAUUUGGCCCUGAACCUCUGUCCCAUAGUCAAAUCUUCUAAUCGGAGCGUCAGUAGGCCUUCUUUGCACAUGUCCAAACCACCGUAACCGAUUUUCUCUCAUCUUUCCUUCAAUUUCGGCUACUCCUACUUUACCCCGGAUAUCCUCAUUCCUAAUCUUAUCCUUUCUCGUGUGCCCACACAUCCAACGAAGCAUCCUCAUCUCCGCUACACCCAUUUUGUGUAUGUGUUGAUGCUUCACCUCCCAACAUUUUGUGCCAUACAGCAUCGCCGGCCUUAUUGCCGUCCUAUAAAAUUUUCCCUUGAGCUUCAGUGGCAUACGGCGGUCACACAACACGCCGGAUGCACUCUUCCACUUCAUCCAUCCAGCUUGUAUUCUAUGGUUGAGAUCUCCAUCUAAUUCUCCGUUCUUUUGCAAGAUAGAUUCUAGGUAACGAAAACGGUCGCUCUUUGGUAUUUCUUGAUCUCCGAUCCUCACCCCUAACUCGUUUUGGCCUCCAUUUGCACUGAACUUGCACUCCAUAUAUUCUGUCUUUGAUUUAGGGUUCUGUCCCAUACAAAAAAAAAUAAAAAAAUAAAAAAUAAAAAGCGCUAACCGAAGACUUUGCUAAAAAACGAAGGAUUCAUGCGGGUGACACCACUUAAUAAGAUAAGGUUUUGUUGUUUGUUAAUAACAUCUUCUUUUUCUUUAUGAGUGAUAAUAGAGAGAUUAACUUUUUAGAUUAUCUUUUGUAAAAAAUAUGAUGUGGCGAUUAAUAGUUGAACUCUUUCUUGUUUAUCAAUAAAUUUUCCUGAAAGUCACUUUCUAUGAUAACAAUGCUGGAAUGGGAUGGACUUUGUGGCCAAAUUGAAAAGAAAUUUUUUUUACAAAAAGAGUUCAACCAUCUGUCAUAUUAUGAAAUCUACAAAAAAAUAAUCGAAAACAUUUAAUCUUUUUAACAUUUUCCUUUUGUUAUUAGUGUAACAUCUCAAGUUUGAUGAUUCUCUAAAAAUACGUGUGAGCUACAUGUCUAAAUUUGUGAAAAUUGAUUGGAAUAGUUUUCCCUCUCUAGUGAGAGUCUUUCUCGGUUUUAGGGAUUUUUUCUCAUCCCUUUGUGUGAGGCCUCUAAAUUGAGCAAAACUGGUGGCGAGGAUCCUAACUUUGGCCGAGGUCGGUUGCCGUCCUCCCCUUUCUUUCCUUCUUGUAUUUUUUCCUUGCUUUUACUAUUUUUUCACCUUGGUUGUUAUACUUAUAUGUCCUGCUUCUCUUUUCCAGACAGUAUCUAUCCUUUGUGUUCAUCCAUAUUCCGAUUUUCAGUCAUACAACCUACUGAGAUUGUGUGUAGAGCUCUAGUUAUUUCACUGGCUCGAGUGUUUCGAACACGUUCGUGGAUCUCCACGGACUUAUCUUGAUAGUUGGCUUCUCUCGUUUGGUUGAUGGCUAUCCUUACUUUAUGACUGUGCUUCGGAAACAGAUUGGAGUUGGAUGUGACAUUUGGUGAGGUGUUGCUUGGCUGUGGAAGAGGAAUUGGACAGAUUGGGAUGAUCUUUGGCUGCGGAGGAAACGGUAGAAAUUUCUAGGCUCGGUGUUCGUGUUUUGCUUUUUCGGCCUAAUUGUAUCUUACCUCUUGUAGUGUGUUGUUCUGUUUUGGCCCCCUUUAUUUAUGUUAAUAUGUUAGCUUUGGGCUUUGUCUGUCUGUAAAAAAAAUUUAUUUUGUAAUAAAAAGUACUUAAAAAAAAAACUUGUGAAAAUUGAAGCUAUAUGAAUUAAAGUGGAUCUUUUUUUUUUUUUUUUUUUUUUUGUAAGAAAACAAACUUAGUUAAGAUAAGGGGAGAAUUACAAAUGUGACUGAUGGACUAAGUCCAAACAAAAUACAAAACCCUUAAAAAGCAAAGACAGAUAUAAUAAAAGAGUAAAAAGGCUCAAGCAAUAGGAGAAUUACAACCUAAGAUACAAUGGGAGACCCACACAAACUUAGGUCCAGAUGCAGCAAAAACAAAGAACAAUAGAGAAACCCUAAAAGUGAUAAUAACUGUAACCAUUUGAUCAAAUUUCAACAAUUCAGAUUCCGAACUAGGUUGAUUAGGUAGAAAGGGAUCCGAGGAUCCCUUUCCAAUACAUAAAAUGCUGAACUAUUUUGUUUUACAGCUAAUUAACAUGAAGUUUUCUCAAAAAGUUGUUAUCCCAAACCAAUUGGGCACUCUCUCCCUCUUUCCCUUCAACUCACUCUAAUUUAAUAAAAAGGGCAUUACUUGAUUCAUGUCCACUCCAUGCAACUGUAAAGCUGGCAUCUUUGGGCCUCGUUUGGUAUACGUGAGUGAAUAUGCUGAGGCGAUUAAACACUUGAACCCAGGGCUUUUGGUUCACCAAGGGCUUAUAUAAGAGGGAUGCGUACUUUUUAUAAAUGGUUGGACACGAAAGAGAAGAAAAAAAAGACUAUUUCCUAACGCUUUUUGUAACCUUUAUUCAAUAUAUACGGCAUCUCAAUGAACGUAACCAAGUUUUUUAGAGUGACCCACUUAAUCUAAUCCGUGUUGUUAGAUUUCUAUUGCUUUUACCCUGAGCCCACCAAACCACAGUGACCUUUGUUAACCUCCAAAUUUUGGCAUAACUGUGUCUAUUUUUGCUAUUGAAUGAAUAUGCCCAGUGUAGUUUUUAGUGAGGUUUUUUUUAGUUUAUCCAUAAGAAUUGCAGGAGCAAUUGUUCUAACUCUAUAUAUAAAUUUAUUACCAGCAAAAUUGUUUGGUAGUGACGAUGCUACCUCUUUAAUAAGCACCUCUUCUCUAGCCCGCGAUAAAAACUACCAUGCCCAUCCGUUAACAUGAUCUGGGACUUAUCGAAGUGACUUGCAGUGGUAGUUCGUUGCUGCCAUUUUCCGAGAGGUUCAUUCCAGAGCGUAUGUGAUAUGGCAGUCAUUCCGAUCAGCUUGAUCCGAUGGUCCGAAAUUCAUGAUCCCAUAUACCCUUCAAUGCUAAACAGUGAGACGGUGUAGAAAGUUCAUCUUUUGCAUUUGUAGAGGUAGAUAUAUUAAUUUUUUUGAGCGGAAAACUUACUAGAUUGGAGAUAUUUAGAGAACUAUUUUCAAAUUGUGACGUUGAAGGUAGAAGAUAGUAUUUAUUCGGAAAAGUUAUCACCUCUAAUUCCACAAUGUUUUUAGAGAGAGAAAUGCUAAAGAGACUCUCUCAAAGUAGGACUUUUUGCCACCUCAUAUUUUUUGCACAAUGUUUUAUAAUGUUAGUACGGGAAUUGUGCCAAAAUUAUGAGGUAAUAGAGAGUACAUGUAGAGUCUCACUUUUGAGAGUCUUUUUAGUAUUCUGAGAAAGGGACUUCCUCUCAGUCUCGACGUACGCAACGCAGCCUUAGAAAUGCAAAAGCAUGCAUGAUAUUGUUUCAACGUUGCAACCUUCCUCUUCCGCUUAUACAUCAAACCUAAUGAGGCAAAGAAGUGUAUCGGCUCUGGUGCAUUGACUUUUACCAUUCUCCGAACUUCAACUUCAAAUGUGGCAAUGUCAGACACUACAAGAAUUUCACAGGAUACAGCGUGGGCAUUGUGAAGGCAUUUCCUCCACGGAUCGCGAUCCAGAGUUGGCAUUGUGAAGGCAUUUCUAUUAAGGACAAUUCUCUUGUAAAAGAUAAAACUUAGUCUUGAUUAAUUCUGUUGUAAUCUGUUGAUAGUGGUGUGAUUAGUUAGGCUUAGUUUUUUAUGUAGUUAGGAUGAGUUGGCAGCACAAGUGUGUGCGCGCUAUGCCAUUGUAUAAAUACCAAGUGUAAGCUUAUUAUUUGAUAUAUAUGAAAAGAUAUUUUCUCAAUAAUUUCCUUCACGUCGGUCCUUCUUAACCCAAUUUUUGUUUUAAUUCCCAUCGACGAUUUGUUAAAAUCCUCAAUGUUUUCAUUACCGUCUACUUCAGUAGUUAGAAAAACUGAAAUUUUGAUAUUACCUUUGAAACUAUAUUUUCCUCUACUAAAACUCAUCUUUUUUUGUUUUCUUGAAUAAAACCCAUUGACUAGCCUCCAACUAAACAAAUUCUUUAAUUAAGUUUGACUUUUUAAAUUGUGUAUUUUCCGAAUGCCUAAACUAUCUGUCACAGCUCGUCCCGAGAUUUUCUUAUUAAGGACAUGAAAUGUCGGAUUUGACCUUAGCGCGGGCUAAGGUAAGUGUGUGUGACAUUAUUUGGAUUAUUUCUAUAUAAGUUUUGGAUUUAAAUUUUAGUUUUAUAAAAUUUUGGUUAGGGAAUUAGAUGAUGGAGGGUGAGGAUUUAAUGUUGGACCAUCUAAACCCCUGCACUCUCUCUCUUCUCGUGCACUCUCUCUCUCUCCUCCCUCACGGCUUCCUCUCUCUCUCUCUCACUCCCGAAGUGUACGGACGAGACCCAAAACCAUCCAAAACUCAGUGGAUCGAAGCAACCAAGGUAAGAUUCUUCAUCCUUGUGAUGCUCUGAGUUGUUUGAUGCUAGUUUUAGGACGUGGAACCUUCGAUAUCACGUGAACCCGAACCCCUCAUUUUUUGUCACUGUUCAUGCACACGUGAAAUGUUGUGUUUCAGGGAAUUCUAAGCUUAUAGUGAGCUUAGUGAUGUCCCAAGGAAGCUCGGAGUGCUUCGUUUGAAGGUUUUGGACGUCGGGAUCACUAGGUUCGAUUUUGGCCGGUUUUUCUUGGAAUUUUCCGGUGAGAUUUAGUUGUUUUUGGAGCUUAAAAGUAGUGUAUCGUGAUUUUACAUGUUUGGGGCUUCAUUUUGAUAUAAAAUACGAAGAAAAUGGGUGAGAAACGAAGGAGAACAAGGAGUUUCAAAGUUGGCCGGAAAUCGGCCGCCGGAAAGUUCAGUCCGGCGAGCCAAGGUUAGGGAUGAUGCGCGUGGGGGCGCGUGUCCCCGUGCCUGUCCCGGAGCGUGCGGCCUCCAAAAAUUUAUCUAAAAAUUUCUCGACGUCCGUGACGUCGAGUAGGUCGAUGUGGUAUAUUCAUAUACCCAAAUUGAGCAUCGUAUGAGAAGUUAUUUCGAAUUGUUGGUUAUGUGUUUAAAUUAACGUUUUUAUAGUUGUUUCGCAUAUAGGUGACACCUAUCCCGAGGACGAGCGCAUCCAGGGACGUCACGGGGGUUACGACCCAUCGACUUACCAGUGAGUGGGCAGUUUUGUUUUCGUAUUACCUAUAUAGUACUGUUUUUCCCAGGAAAUGCGUUUAUUUGAAAAUUAUGAUUUAAAUUGCCAUGCAUGCAAUUGUUGAGAUAUUUGGUUUGAUAAGUGAUGCGUUUAUAUGUGAAUUGACGCGGUGGACGCACAUGUGAGUUUUUAUAUUAUUUAGAUGAGUUAUUUUAUGUGAAUUGCAUUGAAAGCUCAUAACCUGCACCCUAGGUGUUAGUGCUUAUAUUAUUAUUCACCACACAACACGCUCGUCUUGGAUCCAAGUAGGUGGAUGUCGUACAGACCAUGUGAGGGUUCCGACAUGCUAGUCGUAUAGACCACUAGAUCUGAUUCCGACUAGUGGGUGACCUUAGUUAUGUUCGCCGAUGAUUGAUGAGAGAAGCACUAGAGCGUAUUUAUACACCUUUCAUCGUACAGACUACCAUAUGUAGUUCCGAGUGACGUGCAGAGUUGGGCCGUAUAGGUCACUGUGGUGACUCCGGCUGAGUGAGAUGUUGAGCUUUAGAAUCAGCCUUACAGGACCACUGUAGGGUCUCCGGUUGAUUUAUUAUUUCACCUGAUUGAUAUUGAUGCAUUCUGAUUAUAUUUUGGCAUGGCAUGACAUAUCCUUUCUGAGAUGUUAUGUUGAUGGAUGUGAGCUGAGUUUUGAUGAUAUAUAUAUAUAUAUAUAUAUAUAUAUAUAUACACACACUAUUUUCUAGGAAAGUAUACAGGUUUUACGGUGAGGGGUUAGAAAUGUUUUAAAUGAAAUGUUUUGGAAAAUCUUUGGUUUUACUGACCCACUCAUCUUUGUUUUGCGCUCCUCUAGGUUCUAGUUAGCAGUUGGUGGCUCUCGAGGUCUUUUUCGGCAUUCUGACAUACGCUCUACAUGUAGGACUCACCUGCGGGUGUUGUACUUUUUAUUAUGGUCCUACUUGACUGCACUUAGACCUAUGCUCUGAAUUUAUGUGUUUUACCUUAUAACUCAUCCUUUUAUUCUAGUAGGUUGUUACUACUAGAGAUUGGUUUAAAUUCCUUAUUAUUUCUGUUAUUGAUUUGCUUCCGUGUCGCACUUUUGGUUACGUCACACUCACGUGACGGCCAGCACGCCUUGAUCCUCUGGAUCGGGGUGUGUCAGUUUGGUAUCAGAGCCUAGGUUGCAGUCCUGUAUAAUUGUUAAUGCUUUAAUGAUCUUUUGAUGUUUUCUGUCAGAAUUAUGCCGCCUCAUAGAGAGCGUAGGGAGUCCCGCCGUACUCCUGAACCUAAUUUCCCGGAUAUCACUCAGUUGGGGGAAACAAUGGCUCAGGCUUUUCAGAAUGUAAUUCGUCCUCCUCCCCCUCCUCAGAGGACACCCUUGGAGACCAUGUACAAUCUGAAAUUAGAUCGUUUUAUGGGUGAUGAGGGUCACGAGGAGGCAGAGAAAUGGCUAGAUCAUAUUGAAAAGACGUUUCAGGUGAUGCAAAGUCAGGGGAACUUUCCGGCUGAUAGGUGGGUUGAGACCACUACCUGGUUUUUGGGUCGAGAGCUGGCAGGUUGGUGGAGGAAUCAGACGCAUUUUAUGUCCCCAGCUAUGGCAUCUGAUUGGGAGGUAUUUGAAGAUAAUUUCAAGAAAAGAUUUGUCCCUCCAGAGUAUAUUGAUCGUAAGAAACAGGAAUUUACUCGGUUGAAACAGAGGAAUAUGACAGCUCAUGAGUACUAUAGAAAGUUUACUGAUUUGUCUCGCUAUGACCCUGAUACAGCUGGUAAUCAGGGAGAGAUGCUUCGACGUUUCAAGUUAGGAACUAAGAGAAAGUGGCGGACUUUUGCCAGUGCACUUCCCUGCGCCGAUUACCAUGAGUUUUUCGAGAUUUUGGUUAGGAUGGAGGACUCUGAUAACCUUCCCAGUGAUAGUGAGGAUGACGAGGACAAGAAUGAUGGUCAGAAGAAGGAUGAUAAAGGUAAGGUUAUCUCUAUUCCGGAACCUCGCAAGACGCAGAAUUUUAAGAAGAGUGGAGCGAGUUCGAGUUCUUCUAGUGGUGGAUAUAGUAUUACUGGCCUGAUGAGAGGUGGUGGAAGAUUUUCUGGUGGGCCCAGAUUUCAAAGGCAGAGGGAUUCUGGUGGGGCUGUUGGUUCUGGCGCUCCGUGGUGCCGCCGUUGUAAUUUUUGUCAUCAUGGUGAGUGCAGAAGAGGUGGUGGUGCUUGUUUUACUUGUGGGCAAAUGAGACAUCGGGCUUCUCAGUGUCCCCAGGGUCAGCAGAGACCACAGCAGACCACUAUGCCACCUCCAGCGCCGAUUCAGCAGAGCUUUGGACCAGGCAGUUAUGGCCAGUCGGGUCAUGGUGGUGCCUACCAUUACCAGGGGGAUGCUGCUCCGUAUGCUCCCAGAGACCUUAUUAGUAUCCCCAGGAGCCUUAUCCUCAGACGGGGUAUUCCCAGGACUUUGGGGGUUAUUCUUCUUAUUCAUCCAUGCCAGCUGGUGGAUCUCAGUGGCAUCAGGGAGGUCAGCCUUGUCAGGGGGAAGUUGCUGUUGGUGGUGCAGGAUCAUCUAGGUCGUCCAAUCAGCCAGGCCAGGGACGUACUUCUCAUAGGCGAGGUAAUCAAGGCGUGCUAGCCGUCACGUGAGCGUGACGUAACCAAAAGUGCGACACGGAAGCAAAUCAAUAACAGAAAUAAGAAGGAAUUUAAACCAAUCUCUAGUAGUAACAACCUACUAGAAUAAAAGGAUGAGUUAUAAGGUAAAACACAUAAAUUCAGAGCAUAGGUCUAAGUGCAGUCAAGUAGGACCAUAAUAAAAAGUACAACACCCGCAGGUGAGUCCUACAUGUAGAGCGUAUGUCAGAAUGCCGAAAAAGACCUCGAGAGCCACCAACUGCUAACUAGAACCUGGAGGGGUGCAAAACAAAGAUGAGUGGGUCAGUAAAACCAAAGAUUUUCCAAAACAUUUCAUUUAAGACAUUUCUAACCCCUCACCGUAAAACCUGUAUACUUUCCCAGAAAAUAGUAUAUAGACAUAUAUAUAUAUAUAUCAUCAAACUCAGCUCACAUCCAUCAACAUAACAUCUCAGAAAGGAUAUGCCAUGCCAUGCCAAAAUAUAAUCAGAAUGCAUCAAUAUCAAUCAGGUGAAAUAAUAAAUCAACCGGAGACCCUACAGUGGUCCUGUACGGCUGAUUCUAAAGCUCAACAUCCCACUUAGCUGGAGUCACCACAGUGACCUAUACGGCCCAACUUUGCACGUCACUCGGAACUACAUAUGGUAGUCUGUACGAUGAAAGGUGUAUAAAUACGCUCUAGUGCUUCUCUCAUCAAUCAUCGGCGCGCAUAACUAAGGUCACUCACUAGUCGGAAUCACAUCUAGUGGUCUAUACGACUAGCAUGUCGGAACCCUCACAUGGUCUGUACGACAUCCACCUACUAGAUCCAAGACGAGCGUGCGGUGUGGUGAAUAAUAAUAUAAGCACUAACACCUAGGGUGCAGGUUAUGAGCUUUCAAUGCAAUUCACAUAAAAUAAUCCAUCUAAAUAAUAUAAAAACUCACCUGUGCGUCCACCGCGUCAAUUCACAUAUAAACGCAUCACUUAUCAAACCAAAUAUCUCAACAAUUGCAUGCAUGGCAAUUUAAAUCAUAAUUUGCAAAUACGCAUUUCCUAGGAAAAAUAGUAGUAUAUAGGUAAUACGAAAACAAAACUGCCCACUCACUGGUAAGUCGAUGGGUCGUAACCCCCGUGACGUCCCUGGAUGUGCUCGUCCUCGGGAUAGGUGUCACCUAUAUGCGAAACAACUAUAAAAAUGUUAAUUUAAACACAUAACCAACAAUUCGAAAUAACUUCUCAUACGAUGCUCAAUUUAGGUAUAUGAAUAUACCACAUCGACCUACUCGACGUCAUGGACGUCGAGAAAUUGUUAGAUAAAUUUUUGGAGGCCGCACGCGCCCCCACGUGUUAGGAUAGGCACGGGGACACGCGCCCCCACGCGCAUCAUCCCUAACCUUGGCUCGCCGGACUGAACUUUCCGGCGGCUGGUUUCCGGCCAACUUUGAAACUCCUUGUUCUCCUUCGUUUCUCACCCAUUUUCUUCGUAUUUUAUAUCAAAAUGAAGCCCCAAACAUGUAGAAUCACGAUACACUACUUUUAAGCUCCAAAAACAACUAAAUCUCACCGGAAAAUUCCAAGCAAAACCGGCCAAAAUCGAACCUAGUGAUCCCGACGUCCAAAACCUUCAAACGAAGCACUCCGAGCUUCCUUGGGACCUCACUAAGCUCACUAUAAGCUUAGAAUUCCCUGAAACACAACAUUUCACGUGUGCAUGAACAGUGACAAAAAAUGAAGGGUUCGGGUUCACGUGAUAUCGAAGGUUCCACGUCCUAAAACUAGCAUAAAACAACUCAGAGCAUCACAAGGAUGAAGAAUCUUACCUUGGUUGCUUCGACCCAUUGAGUUUUGGAUGGUUUUGGGUCUUGUCCGUACACUUUGGGAGUGAGAGAGAGAGAGAGAGAGGAAGCCGUGAGGGAGGAGAGAGAGAGAGUGCUACGGGAAGAGAGAGAGGGCAGGGGUUUAGAUGGUCCAACAUCAAAUCCUCACCCUCCAUCAUCUAAUUCCCUAACCAAAAUUUUAUAAAACUAAAAUUUAAAUCCAAAACUUAUAUAGAAAUAAUCCAAAUAAUGUCACACACACUUACCUUAGCCCAUGCUAAGGUCAAAUCCGACAUUUCACGUCCUUAAUAAGAAAAUCUCGGGACUGGCUGUGACACUAUCCCUAUUAAUACUUGGAUGGGGUUUUUGGACCAGUUACUUGUUAUAUCCAUUUAAUUAAUUUUAUAUAUUUUACAAAAUAAUUUAUGCCAUUCAUUGUAUAUUCAAUGUUAGCCGACCCCACUUAGUGGGAAAAGGCUUUGUUGUUGUUGUAUUGUAUAUUCAAUGUAUUAACUUUCAAAUUGUUAUAACGUGCCAAUUGAAUAAUAAUAAUACUAAUUUCAUAAUUUUGUGCAAUAAAUAUAUAAGUUAAUUUACCUACCAACACAACAAUAAAUCUAAAACAGCUUCGGCUAAUACUCCAAUCUCUAAUACACAAAACAAAAGCUAUAUGUUCCACACAAUUUUUACUUACAAAAUAGUCUAAUUUACCUACUCCAUCAAACCAAAAUUUAAAGGUCUAAUUUACUUCCAAAAUGGUCUAAUUUACCCACAUGAUUUAUGUGCAUUAGAUUAAAAGUUUAUUUAAUUGCCUACAAGCACAAACCCACAACAUUCGAACAUUAUCUAAUCACUAAUUUUUUAUUUUUUUUGAAUAGGUAAAUUAAUUUCAAUGUAGGUAAAUUAGUAUAAUAUUAAUAAGUAGGUAAGUUAAUUUAAAUGUAGGUAAAUUAGUAUAAUAUUUUAUAAGUAGGUAAAUUAGUAUAAUAUUUGUAUGUAGGUAAUUACAUGAUUCAAAAUGCAGGUAAAUUAGUAUAAUAUUUUUUAAGUAGGUAAAUUAAUUUGUUUGUAGGUAAUUACAUGAUUCAAACAAUAUUAUUUUUUGCAUACAAGAUAUGUCUUUUUUUUUUUUAAUUCGGUAAAUUAAUUUAUUUAUGUUGCUAAUAUUUAUGACACAAGAAAGGUAAAAUAUCCAUAUGGAUUUAAUUGCUCAUCAUAAUUAGGGUGAGUAAUAACAUUUAUUGACCAAAUUAGGAUUUUGUGGCAUAAGUUGCAAAUGAAUUGUAAUAGUUAGUUAUAUAUUUGUCUACAUGGUAGGUUAUUUGAAAUUUAGGUUUUAUUUGAAUGUUUAAAUUUAGUUGGGUUUUUAUUUGAAAAAUAGAAGUUUCAAGGGUCUAUAUCUAAAAAAAUCUUUAGAAAAAAUAAAGAAAUAUCAGUGUUUCUCAACUGCCAGUGUCUACUUAAGACGGAAAAUAAUUGUUCUUCUUCUUCCUACUCCUCACCAUUACAGAUCAUUGAUAAAAUCAUCAAAAAAAAAAAAAAAGAAAGGAUGGGAUUUGAGAAAGAGCAUAUAGUAAUGCUGCCAUUCAUGGCUCAAGGCCAUAUCAUACCAUUCCUAUCACUUGCAAAGCAAAUCCAGCAGUCAACAAACUUCUCAAUCACCAUCGCCACCACCCCUCUCAACAUCAAAUCCCUCCAAUCCACCAUUUCCUCCGCCUCAUCCAAUCACAACAACAUCCACUUGGCCGAACUUCCCUUCUGCAGCUCAGACCACGACCUCCCCCCUAACACAGAGACCACAGAGAACCUCCCCCUCUCCAAAAUGAUCAACUUUUUAGUCGCCUCACUCAGCCUCGAACCUCCUGCUCGACGCCUUAUCACUGAUAUCAUCAAAAGGGAAGGCCGCCCGCCGCUCUGUUUGAUCUCGGACGUAUUCUUCGGAUGGGCUACCGAUCUUGCAAACAGCUUAGGCACUGUCAAUGUGAGUUUCACCACAGGCGGGGCUUACGGCACUGCAGCCUACACAUCAAUCUGGCUCAACCUCCCUCAUCGCUCCGCAAGCAGCGAAUACUUCACCGUCCCCGGCUUCCCGGAACACGGCAGGUUCCACAUCUCUCAGCUGAAUCCGUUUGUAAGAGCUGCAGACGGUACAGAAUCUUGGUCAAAAUUUUUCCAGCCCCAGAUUUCGGGUUCUACAAAAUCAUUUGGUUGGCUGUGUAAUACUGUGGAGGAAAUUGAGCCGUUGGGAUUGGAUAUCUUGAGGGAUAACUUGAAGCUUCCGGUUUGGUGCAUUGGUCCUCUAGUACCUAAUGAUGCACUCAAAAACUCAUCCGCAUUGGACUUAAAGGUCUCGAGGCAGCGCACCGGAAAAGAAAUGGGCUUUUCCGCAGAGAAAUGCCUCGAGUGGCUUGACUCGCAAGGUUCGAAUUCUGUAAUUUACAUCUCAUUUGGUUCUCAGAACACAAUCAGUGCAACCCAAAUGAUGGAAUUGGCUGUUGGGUUGGAAGAAAGCGGAAAACCUUUCGUUUGGGUGAUAAGGCCUCCGGUGGGGUUUGAUCUGAAGGGAGAGUUCAAAGCAGAGUGGCUGCCUAACGGGUUUGAGGAAAGAAUGAGUAAACGAAAACAGGGGUUGCUAGUGCACAACUGGGCACCCCAGUUGGAGAUUUUAUCACACAAAUCCACUGGCUUUUUUGUGAGCCAUUGCGGGUGGAAUUCAGUGAUGGAGAGCUUGAGCCAGGGCGUGCCGAUUGUUGGGUGGCCGUUGGCGGGGGAGCAGGCUUAUAAUUCGAAGAUGUUGGUGGAGGAGAUGGGUGUGAGUGUGGAGCUGACAAGGGGUGUGCAGAGUAAUAUUGGAUGGAAGGAGGUGAAGGAGGUGAUUGAUCUGGUGAUGGACGAGAGUGGGAACGGAGGGGAGAUGAGGAAAAAUGCAGGUGAGAUUAAGAAGAAGAUAAGAGGAUCAAUUAGAGAUAAUGAUGGUGAUCAAGGAAAGGAGAAGGGGUCUUCUGUUAAGUCAAUGGAGGAUUUUGUGGCUGCUCUUUUAUCAAAGAAACAAGAUUUGGCAAAAAUCAAUUAGAGAUGUAAUUUAUUAAUUAAUUAGUUUUUGCGUUGAAAUUUAAAGAAUAAUAUUGUCGCUUUCAAGUCAAUUGAGAGCUGAUGAUACUUGAGUAUUGACUAGUGAGUACUUAUUUCUAAUUUUGUUGAAUGAUAUUAUAAUACAUAUGCUAUUUAAAAAAAAAUGAAAUAAUGGAUAUGUCAUUUGAUCUUUCUUAGACUAUAAAAACAAAUAAUACGUUUUUUUAUUGGGCUAAAGCGGAAAUGGCCUUAAAAUUUAUAAGGGACCGUUGUACUACCAGUCAAUUGAAUGAGCUUAAAGCUCCAUAUUCUUGGUGGCAAGUGCUGCUCAAUGGUUCUCUCCCAAAGCGAAAAUGCUUGAAAAUGUUCUCGAAAGCCAAGGGAGUAGGAGCUUACCUCGUUUGAUUAUGCACUGGUGGAACCUAUACUUUACAAUAGGAAGGUGGAUUGAAUGCUCCUGGAAAGAUAAGAAUCGAUGCAACUGAGUAGCUAAAUCUAGUAAAACGCUCCAACUCAAACGAGAGGGAUACAUAAAAUAUACACUAGUAAGUACCGAAGUAUUAUCCUUUAAGAAAUUUAUAUGUUUGCGAAGCGAUAGGUUUUGUUUCAAAAUAUGUUAGGCUGUGGGGAUGACAUCCAAAGUCCAAAAAAGCCUGCACCUGGCUAAGAGGGUAGGGUUGAAACUUGGAACAAAUGCCCUCAUUACGCUUUCAUGUGCAUGCUGCAUGUCAACUUGUGAAAAUUGAAGCUAUAUGAAUUAAAGUGGAAAUUUAUUCAACCUAUUAGAAUAACCUUAGGUGCUCUUCAUAUCAUCCUCUUGAUUAGCCACUCCAUCACUGCCACAGUAUCCUAUUAGAAUAGUGUAUUCCAGCUAAUUGCCCCCUUUUUUUUCCACCAGAACUGUGUGAGCAAUCGUCCUUGGUCUUUAUAUAAAUUUACUAGCAGUUUAAAGCAAGACAUAUGUUUGGCAGUGACGAUGUUACCUCAUUAAUAAGCACCUCUUUUCUAGCUAUCCGGCGGUUAAAACUACUCUGCCCAUCCAUUAACACGAUCUGAGACUUUUCGAAGUGACUUGCUCCGAUAGUUCGUUGCCGUCAAUUCACUUCACAUCGAGAGGUUCGCUCCGGAGCUUAUGAGAUAUCAGUCAUUCCGACCAGCUCGAUCUUGUGGUCCGAAAUUCAUGGUUCCAUGAUACCCUUAAAUGCUAAAUAAUGAGACGGUAUAGAAAGUUCAUUUCUUGCUUUUGUAGAAGUAGAUAUAUUAAUUUUUUAAGGGGAACAACUUACUAGAUUCAAGACAUUUAGAGAAAUAGUUUCAAAUUGUGACGCUGAAGGUAGAAGAUGAAGUAUUCAUUUCGAGAAGUUGUCACCUAUAAUUCUACAAUGUUUUUGGAGACAGAAAUGCUAAGGAGACUCUUUUAAAGUGAGACUUUUUAUGAACUCUCCACCACCUCAUAUUUUUUGGUACAAUGUUUUGUAAUGUUGGUACGGGAAUAUUGAUACAUAACCUGAGAAAUGCAAAAUGUUUCAAAUUGUAACGUACGCUACGCAACCUGAGAAAUGCAAAAGCAUGCAUAAUAUUGAUGCAUAACUGAACUACAAACCAUAAGGGAAAAAAAACAAGAGGAAGAAACAAAAUACAUAAUUUGUUUCAACGUGACAUCCUCUUUUGUUUAUACAACAAACCUAAUUAGGCAACCUCUUUUGUUUAUACAACAAACCUAAUUAGGCAAAGAAAUGUAUCGGGUCGGGUGAUGCAUUGGCUUUUAGUAUUCUCCAAACUCCAACUUCAAAUGUGGCAAUGUCGGUAACCAUCAGAAUUUCACAGAAUACAGAGUUGGCACCGACGAUUUGUUAAAAUCCUCAAAUUUGUCACUACUCUCUACUUAGUAGUAUGAAAAAUUAAAGAAAUGACAAUUUUUUUCAAAUGCCAAUGUAAUUGAUAAAAAAGUUGAAGUACCCAGUAGUCCGGACUAUCAAAGACUAUCAAAGACUGGAAAAUAAUUAUUCUUCUUCUCCCUCUUUCUCACCAUUAUAGGUCAUUCAAAAAAUUAUCAGAAAAAAAAGGGGGAUUUGAGAAAGAGCAUAUAGUAAUGCUGCCAUUUAUGGCUCAAGGCCAUAUCAUACCAUUCCUAUCACUUGCAAAGCACAUCCAACAGUCAACAAACUUCUCAAUCACCAUCGCCACCACCCCUCUCAACAUCAAAUCCCUCCAAUCCACCAUUUCCUUUCCUCAUCCAAUCACAACAUCCACUUGGCCGAACUUCCGUUCUGCAGCUCAGACCACGACCUCCCCCCUAACACAGAAACCACAGAGAACCUCCCCCUCUCCAAAAUGAUCAACCCUCCUUUAGCCGCCUCACUCAGCCUCGAACCUCCUGCUCGCCGCCUUAUCACCAAUAUCAUCAAAAGGGAAGGCCGCUCGCUGCCCGCCGCUCUGUUUGAUCUCUGACGUGUU
rnacentral:lncRNA from 1 species